rnacentral:rRNA from 1 species
UACGUAGGGUGCGAGCGUUGUCCGGAAUUAUUGGGCGUAAAGCGCGCGUAGGCGGUUGCCUAAGUCGGACGUGAAAGCCCUCGGCUUAACCGAGGAAGUGCAUCCGAAACUGAGCAGCUAGAGUACGAAAGAGGGUCGCGGAAUUCCCGGUGUAGAGGUGAAAUUCGUAGAUAUCGGGAGGAACACCGGCGGCGAAGGCGGCGACCUGGGUCGAGACUGACGCUGAGGCGCGAAAGCGUGGGGAGCGAACAGG